rnacentral:rRNA from 1 species
AUUGAACGCUGGCGGCAUGCCUUACACAUGCAAGUCGAACGGCAGCACGGGGGCAACCCUGGUGGCGAGUGGCGAACGGGUGAGUAAUACAUCGGAACGUGCCCAGUAGUGGGGGAUAGCCCGGCGAAAGCCGGAUUAAUACCGCAUACGACCUACGGGUGAAAGCGGGGGAUCGCAAGACCUCGCGCUAUCGGAGCGGCCGAUGUCAGAUUAGGUUGUUGGUGGGGUAAAAGCCUACCAAGCCGACGAUCUGUAGCUGGUCUGAGAGGACGACCAGCCACACUGGGACUGAGACACGGCCCAGACUCCUACGGGAGGCAGCAGUGGGGAAUUUUGGACAAUGGGCGCAAGCCUGAUCCAGCCACGCCGCGUGCGGGAAGAAGGCCUGG